rnacentral:rRNA from 1 species
CCUACGGGCGGCUGCAGUGAGGAAUAUUGGUCAAUGGCCGGAAGGCUGAACCAGCCAUGCCGCGUGAAGGUCAGUGCCCUAUGGGCGUUAAACUUCUUUUGUGCGGGAGCAAUAAUGGUAACGGGUGGCCAGACGAGAGUACCGUACGAAUAAGCAUCGGCUAACUCCGGGCCAGCAGCCGCGGUAAUACGGGGGAGGCAAGCGUUAUCCGGAGUUAUUGGGGUGAAAGGGGGCGUAGGCUGUGAGGUAAGUCAGCGGUGCAAUGCCCCCGCUCAAGGGGGUGAAGGGCCAUUGAUACUGCCUUGCUGGAAUGCGGAUGCCGUGGGAGGAAUGUGUGGUG